GAUUGUAGUUGGUCAUGGCGUAUGGCUCAAAAGAAUUGCUUUUCCGAAAUAAAAAACUACUAUCAAACCCUAGAGCUAAGGAGUGUGCCCAGGCCCAGGAGCUGCAUGCUGGCAGGUGCGAUGCCUUGAAGAUAUGGACGGGUGGGUUCCAUCGCAGGCAACACCAGCAAGGCCAUACAGGACGGAUACAAGCUCAAUCUUAAAAUGUGAAAUAUGCAAGCAAAAGAGAAGUCUAUGAAGCCAAUUUACUCGAAGGGAUUGUAGUCCGGAAUCUGGCAGAUUUGACAGUACAAAUGAUGACAGUACAGCUCGUCGUACGUUUUGUGAGCCAAAAAUAUUUUCUAAAAUCAGUAACAUUGAAGAGCUGCUCAUUGAAACAAUUUAGCAAUUCUGCUGUCCUCUUCUGCCUGUCAGCCCUGGAAUCCUCCUAAUUUUGUGCACUGUUGCACUCAUUGUAAACCAAGAGCCCUGUGCUUAUCAUACGUAAAAACAGCUGAGCACUUGUGAUGUGCCACAAAAUAACCACAAGAAACACUCAUUAGUGGGGAAAUAUGUUUAGGUUUAUUAUUUAAUAUACAUAUGUAGUAAUAUGUCC